GCCCCGUGGCUCGCCGCGACGUCCAGAGUGUCUACUCUUAGUGUUAGUUGCCUGCAGGUGAGGCGAUCGAUACAAAAGCACACAGGCGAACGGGGGGGGUCUCGGCGAGGUGACUGAACCGAGUCGGCCGGAGGUGGAGACGAUUGAAGCCUGUAGAUUCGCCCAGAUCAAAAAAAAAUGGCGGUCGGACGCCGGCCGCGACUUCUUUCAUCGCUUGCGGAUCAAAGGGAUCGAACUGUCGAGCGACAGCGUCGCCUCUCGUCCCUUUGUGUGUGUUUUUUAAAUUUCCGGUAGGAAGUUGAUCACAGACGCCGACCAGGGUAGAAGAACAUCAGCCGACUUCAGGGGCUGCCAAUGUGUAAAUUGCGAGUAGCUACUUUUACAAAAUAAUCUUGUACAGAGUCUUAUAAUACACACAUAUUCCUUUCAAAAUAAAAGUACCCACAAUUUGAGAUUAGGCUUUUUCGCUUUCCCUCCCCCCACGCCACCCGUCUAACCCGGGCGUAUGCCACAUUGUCGUGAACGUCCGAAGCGCCUUACGAUGCCAUGAUUGCGUAACAAUGGUCACACGGUUGUUCUCAUCGCCAAUCACCUUGUUUCAGGAGCCGUCUGGAAUGGAGCGAAUGGUGGAGUGAAAAUGCCUUAUUCAAGAUACUUCCCUCAAAGUUCUAUCAGUUUUUUUCCUCAUCAAAUGUACUAAGACUCGGUACAAGAUGAAGUCGAGCGUUUCCUUUUCCGCCGUUUGGACGUCGCGGGUCCUUUUUCUUUCCUUCCACCGUCGAGACACAGUGACGCUGCACCUCUCCUUCCUCUGCGACCAGAUUCAUCAUGCAAAGCAUAAAAGAAAAAUGUGGAGGGCGGUGUGUAUAUCGCUCACGCCUGCGUCCUGCUUUUCCACCAUAUCUCGCCCAUCAUUGGAAGUGACUGAAGAUUUUGGUUUUUUUUUUACUCCGGUGACAUUUGAAGAUUUUGUGUUUUUGUUUUUGGUUUUUUUUUUUGAUUAAAAAUCCAUUUGUGAAAAAUGAACUUUAAUUUUUUUUUCCCUUCUUCUAUCACUGAUUCGCGCUGAUCACAUUGAUCAGUCUUGGAAACGACAGACUGAGAAAAAGGAUGAACGAGUGCAGUGUUUUCCACUGUGUUCUGUGACGACAUGCUAAUAAUUUCGGGGGGUUCAUUUUUUUUGGGGGGGGGGUGUAUUGUAAUUUUUUUUGUAAUGGCUGCAGAUAGAUUGUUAAUAAUUUGUUUGUAUUACAGUGGUUGACAUGCAUCGUUCACUUUCAUUCAACUCUGACGAUAAUGUGCAUAUUUAGCGGGGGGACGAGUCCUUUUCUUUUUCUUUUUUUUUCGAAAAACGAAAAACGUUGCACAAAAAGAUGUACAAGCGUAAAGAUAAAGUGUAGUGGGUAGAACCGCUGCUCCGUUCGGUGUGAUGUCAGUGAGACGUGUACAUUUUUAGCUGGUGAUGAAACUUCUGUUCUUCAUUCUUUCUCUUGUGCGACUUUGGCCUGUAUGUCUUUUACAAAGACAAUCGGUGGAGUACGUGUCGGCUGUUUUUUUUGUAUUUUUAAUACAAUAAUUGUAAAUAUUGGUUAUAUUUUUGUUCAAAUGUACUAUGUUUAUGCCUCAACAUCCAGUUUAUAUGAAGCUGGGUAUCAAUAAAUACUGCAUAAAGAAAUCAACACCUAGGUUUAAAUGCACUUAUUCAUUUCUUGAUGUCUUUUCUUUUUUCAAAUGUGUUUUGUCCUUGAGAGGUUUUUCUUUUCUUCUUUCUUUCUUUCUUUCUUUCUUUUCCUCCCAGAUACCGUCUAGUGUUUGCACAAGUCAUGGAAGCAACUUGAAAAGUGUAACCCUCAUACUUUUCUAUCUGACCGCAGUGUGUCAGAAUUAAUAAAAAAAAAAGAGAUAUUGAAGUCUCGCCUUGCUUUCGUUCACUUUGUUUCCUGUUGCCUGUUGGUAUCCAGAGCUGGGAGAAUAGUGCAAGUCCCUGUUCUCAUUUCUUUAUCGUCAUUGUUUCUAAAUUGUUUCUUAGAUGAGCUGGGGUUUUCUGCCUUUUAUUAUGAAAUUCUAUAUUUCCAACUCGCAGUGCGACGCAUCCCUUUUAUGAGAAAAGUGAAGUGAGACUUAUUACCUCUGGCCAGUGCUCGGGGGGAUACAUGCAGAUCUAUUUAUUUCUCCAGAAAGUAAAACAUUUAAUUUGCGUCUUUUUUUUUUUUCACCGCUGAGAUUUACUUACAUUCUUAAUAACCGGGGGGAAAGGUUUCCAUUUUAGAUUUUUUUUUUAAAUAAUGAAAUGACAAACAUGGCCUGCAGCAACAUGACAAUUCCUGAAAUACAAUGUUUUUGUUCUCAGAUUCUAAAUAUCCCUGCUACACAGAUAAUGACCAGUUUUUGAAAGGUGACGGUAUCGUGGUUUGAAAACAGUUUGACUCUCACUUCUAGGGCUGCAACUAAUAAAUCAACAACUAAUCUGUUGAUCAUUUUCUCGAUAACUAAGUUGUUUGCACCAUAACACGGUGAAGAUGAUGUUUUGAUAUUCAGUUUACUGUCAUCAAGGAGCAACGGAACCGUGAAAAUAUUCAUAUUCAUAUUUAAGAAUCGAUUAUCAAAAUGUUGUAGUCGAUCACCAAGCGAUUAAUCGGAUUAACUGCUGCGGCUCUACCAUGUUUGACUUAGUGUGUUAGCUUCCGAAAAGUAUUUUUAAUAAUGUUUCUUGUGGUAUAAAUAAGAGCGUUUGCUCGUUAUGAACACACGUCACCUCAGUGCUGUGAACGUCGUCAGUCAUUACGGUGAAAUUUGACAUUCUGUUCUGAGUCCAGCUUCCGACGGCGUAUCGCUCACUCGACAUUCCCAGUGCUCGUGAAUAAUGCAGACUUGGACCGUUUCCUGUUUCUCCCUAUCAAAGUGCCGAGGGGCCCCCCUCGAUUUGUCAAACCUCUCCAAAAAAAAUUAAAAUGGAUGUGCAUUGGCACCGUGAGAAAUGAGGAGCUGCUCUGACCCACACACAACCCACACACACACACACACACGCGUUCUAGUAAAUAAAGGUCAAAUAAAUAAUAAAAAGUGGCCCGACAGCUCCAAGUAUGUCCAUGUUUUGCCCCAAGUCAUUGAUGUAUUAUUGCUAAUUUACCCAUUUUUCCCCGCAGCCUAUCGACCCACCGGCAGAAAAUGACCAGAUGUUGCUCGAGUGUGUCUUUUGAGACGAAUGUCCCCGUCUCUGACGCCGUUGCGGACAUUUUUUUUUCCGGUGAACUGAACCUUUUAAAGGAUGGACAUGAAAUCGGAGAGCCGGGUUC
rnacentral:lncRNA from 1 species